GCAUGUGAAGGAGAUUCCAAAGCAUUUUCACCUGAAGUACACACUCCUACAGAGCAAAAUGUUUGCCCAAGUGGGUUUCUGUGUGGGCAUGGGCUAUAAUUAAG